UCAGCCAGCCAUGAGCAGCCAGAUCCGUCAGCCAGCCAUGAGCAGCCAGAUCCGUCAGCCAGCCAUGAGCAGCCAGAUCCGUCAGUUAGCCAUGAGCAGCCAGAUCCGUCAGUUAGCCAUGAGCAGCCAGAUCCGUCAGUUAGCCAUGAGCAGCCAGAUCCGUCAGCUAGCCAUGAGCAGCCAGAUCCGUCAGCCAGCCAUGAGCAGCCAGAUCCGUCAGCCAGCCAUGAGCAGCCAGAUCCGUCAGCCAGCCAUGAGCAGCCAGAUCCGUCAGCUAGCCAUGAGCAGCCAGAUCUGUCAGCCAGCCAUGGGCCGUCCCUCAGUCCGGAGCUGCAGUCCCUCAGUCCGAAGCUGCAGUCCCUCAGUCCGGAGCUGCCGUUCCUCAGUCCGGAGCUGCCGUUCCUCAGUCCGGAGCUGCCCCUUAUCCUGGUGCUGCCCCUUAUCCUGGUGCUGCCCCUUAUCCUGGUGCUCUCCCUUAUCCUGGUACUGCCCCUUAGUCCGGAGCUGCCCCUUAGUCCGGAGCUGCCCCUUAGUCCGGAGCUGCCCCUUAUUCCGGAGCUGCCCCUUAGUCCGGAACUGCCCCUUAAUUCAGUGGGGUUAAUGUGGAGGGGGGUCAUUUGGAGGCAGCUACGGAGGCGGUUAGUGACUGUGGUGGGGUGGGGACCACGACCAGUGCCGGAGCCGCCACCGUGGAAGGAAGCCCACCCAGACCCUCCCCUAGACUGUGUGCUGGUGCGCUCGGAGUUCGCACCUUAAGGGGGGGGUUAUGUCACGCCCUGGCCUUAGUAUUCUUUGUUUUCUUUAUUAUUUUAGUUAGGUCAGGGUGUGACAUGGGGAUUGUUUGUGUUUUGUCGGUUUUGGGUGAUUAUAUGGUAAAGGGGGUGUUGGGUGUAGUGUAUGGGUUUGUGUUGAGUGCAUGUGUCUAGCUGUGUCUAUGUUGGUUUAGUUGUCUAGGAGAGUCUAUGGUUGCCUGAAUGAGUUCCCAAUUAGAGACAGCUGAUUUCUGUUGUCUCUGAUUGGGAGCCAUAUUUAGGGUAGCCAUAGGCUUUCAUUUGAUUGUGGGUAAUUGUCUAUGUUAUACGUUUGUAGCCUGUGUAUGCACUACGUUUGAUUAGCGUCACGAUCGUUUAUUGUUUUGUUUAGUGUGUAAGUGUUUUUGUUUCGUUUUGCCUUCGUCAUCAAUAAAAGAGAUGGCGUAUUUUCCAAAUGCUGCGUUUUGGUCCGUCAAUCCUCCACACGAUCGUGACACUUGCCCUGCAAGUGUAUACUCGUCAGACGUCAUCAGAAGUGUAUAUCGACAGAACACACCUUCCACGUUGUGCAUUAUUUUCCAGGGAAAAUCCCUUACAUAAGAACAAUUAGUUAUUUAUUGAAUAUUUAACAAAUACUAUUCCUUGCGAUGAAAUAUGUAUUAAACGAAUAGUGAUGUGAUAGUGAUGGUUUAACUUGGUGUUUGUCUCCACAGCUCUCCAUAAGGAGCCCUACAUUAUGUUCUCCACAGAGAAUAAGUCUAUUAUCUGCAUGAAGUGUUUCAGAGACAUACAAGUGUGAGGGAAGCUCCUACUACAGCAACACAAGAUUCACACAGGAGGAACACUGUUAGUAAAGCUCAUUUAUGUUUCUGCCAAAUUAUUGCUUCGAUUUGAAAUUUCACAGGGAGAGCCUGACAUACUGCAUUAACAUUGCAACAGAAUGCAUACAACCCAGCUAGCACUUUCUGAGAACCAUAUGUUUCUUAGAGCUUGGUGAGAGCGUGGUUAUCCUAUGGUUGUUUUGCAUACAACCUUCCCAUAACAUUCUGGGAAUGGUGCAAGAUAGUUGCUUGGCUUUUGGAACAUUCUCAGCACAUUUAAGGAACUUGACAAAGAAACAUAAUUUUCUUGGUAUUUCAUUACUUUAAACUGAACGUUUCCUAAAAGUUCAAACAUGGUUACAUUUCUUUUCAAACAUUCUCCAAGUGGUUUGGCAUUGGGAAUGUUCUGAAAUAGUUCAGAGAACAUUAAGAAACAACGUUCUUCUUUGGGAAUUGUAGUACUUCAGCAUAACGUUUCCUACAGUUUUCCUCAUGGUUCUAUUUAAAAUAAUGUUCUCAAAUUGUUCCAAGAAUGUUAAGAAACAACAUUCUUCUGUGGGAAUUUCAGUACUUCGCAUAACGUUUUCUACAGGUUUCCUCAUGGUUGUAUUCAAAGUCUUGUUCUCAAAUUGUGCCAAGAACGUUAAAUAAACUUUCCAGAAAACCACAAGAAAACUUUAGUAACAUUCAGAGAAUGUUCUAAGAAUGUUAUUUAAAAACUUAAACAUUCUGUUCUCAGCAUCAACAAAACUCUCUAUCCUCUAUCUUGUUCAGUGUGUUCAGGAGUGUUGGCAACGCCCACUAAUUGGCCACACCUGAGGUUAAGGAGUCCUUGUUUCCUUUGAAAUGGGGUCUGUUUGAAUCGACUAAACUGAACAGCUUUGUAUGCGUAAAAACAAACAUGGUAUGCUAGCUCCAUCUUGGUGGUGCAAUGGACUAAUUCCAUGGAUAGAGAAUAGAAGAUUAUAGGUUUGAAUCUCACUGAUGCCGUGUCACAAUAAAAAAUAAAUGUGUUUGCUUGAUUAAUGCCUAAGGAAAUUAAUUUCCAUGUGUCCUAUCUCUGCUUGGAGUAAAAAAAAAAAGUUUCCCAAAAUAAGAUAGCAGUGUUAUUAAAGUCUUAUUGAAACAUUCAGUGAAAGUUUUAAGGACGUUAUUUAAAAAAACCUCAAUAACCUAUAAUUUCCAUUCUCAGAGCGUUAAUUAAACCUCCCAGAAGGAACCAGAGUAAAUAAAAAAUCCCAGAAGGAACCCGAGUAAAACGUUCUCAGAAUUUCAAUGCAACCUAAAAAUAGAACAGGCGAAAUGUUCACUUCCGUUCUCAGAAUGUUUAAAAAACAUUCAAUUUUACCGGUCUGGAAACUUAUGACUUUGUUCCCAGAAACAAUGGGAAACAUUACAUUUAAGUCAUUUCGCUGACGCUCUUAUCCAGAGCGACUUACAUUUUACCUUUUUUUUUAAAAAAUUAUUUAACUAGGCAAGUCAGUUAAGAACAAACUCUUAUUUUCAAUGACGGCCUAGGAACAGUGGGUUAACUGCCUUGUUCAGGGGCAGAACGACAGAUUUGUACCUUGUCAGCUCGGGGAUUUGAACUUGCAACCUUUCGGUUACUAGCCCAACGCUCUAACCACUAGGCUACCCUGCCGCCCCAAACCAAAAAUGUAUGUUCCCACAACUUCCAAGGAACCAAAUGUUCUAGCUGGGAAGGAUGUGAGAUACUAGAGCAGGCAGUGCUGGUGAGUGGAUUUACUUUUAUUCUCUUCAUACAUUGUGUAUUAUAACAUUGAUGGUUCGCAGUCACUCCCUCUGAAAAUCCAUGUUUUAUCUGUAUAGUCCUCAACUCCAUGGCCUAUGUAGUAACUCUGAAUUGUUUCCAUGCUGUAUUUUACAUGCCAUAGUAUUGGAUCCUUAUGUUGUUUUUGAAAAGCAACAGGCUGGGUCUUGGGUUUGAGAUAAAGCAUAUGAUCAUGUGUGUUUGGUUUAGCUACAGGUUAGUUCCAGGUGAAUGAGCAUAUCUACCAUGUCCAUGUGUGAGCCUUGCUUCCUCUGUAGGCAGUGAAGGAGCUGCAGACAUUGGCCCGUGAAGCUAUUAUGCUGAGGGUCAUGAUAGGGGAGGUGUGCUCCAAUAUCGAGGAAGAGGAGAAUGCAAUAUGUGACCUCUUCAACAGUAUACAGGUAAAACUUCACUAAAGGACUCUUUUCAGGUCACCUGAAAGAAAAACAGAUGCUAUUGAUAAUGUUGUUAUUGAGAUACGAAUGUAUUAAAUGAACAUUGUGAAAUGUAACUAUCUAAGUGCAAGACAAUAAAUAUAAUUCCAAAUUUAAAUAUGUGAUGAUGGUGCCUGACCACUGGGUGUCUCUCUUGCUCUCUUUGUGAAAAGAUUGAAAGGUCUUCUGCACUCAACAAAAACUUUAUCAAUGGAGUUAAACCAAACACUUACUGGUACAAUUACAAGACAAUGUGUACCACAAAAUUACUUUUUAGAGAGAACUCACUACAAGUUAAAUCCCCAGACAGUUAUUUGCUCAAAUGGAGGGUUGCAGACAAGGACCACAGUCUUUUUCACGGUAGGCCUACUACUAGCAGACAACGUCAUAGCCCACAGCCAUUUUACAUUUUAGUUAUUUAGCAGACACUGUUAUCCAGAGCGACUUACAGUAGUGAGUGUAUACAUUUUCAUAUUUGUUCCCACUGGUCCCCUUUGGGAAUCAAGCCCACACUCUGGCAUUGCAAAUGCCUGCUCUACCAACUGAGCCACAUUUUUCUUGUGGUUAACUGUUUCUCUGCUCUCAUCUGUCAGGAAAGAGAGGAAGAAAAUUCUGUUGCGAGCGGCUCACAGGUACUGCAUUACUUUGCUUUGAAACGGUUGCUUUGAUGCCAUAAAGACAAUGGAUAGGCAAUCUGUUAGGAAUGGAUUGAAGUUUGUAAUUUCCCCAAGAUCAAAGUGUCUUACAUUGUACAGGGUUAACAAACCUAAUUUACCACUAAGAAAGUACUGCAGCCAUUUUAUGCCAGAACCCUGGUGUAGGCUAGUUUACAUUUGGCCCCAUGAGAGAGACUUUACAGUACACAGUUAAAACAAGAAUGGCAAGGCAAACAGAGUGAAGACUGCUUCAAACAAUACUCAUCGUUCCACUGUUGCAGUUCGUGGUUACAUGAAAAAUGUGUGUAGAUAACCUCUGAAGUGUUGAUAUUCUCUGGGAGCAGUCCAUCACAGCUAGUGGAGCAGGAAGCUACAGCCUGGGGCCAAUGGACGGCAGCAUUACUGUCUCUGGAGUGUGUGAGGGAGAAAGUGUAUCAGAUUGCAUUGUGUAGAGAUUUUUAAUGAGAUUUUUGUGCCCUUGUGUCCUCCAUCUUUCUUGCCCCGCUGCCUGGAAGCAGACCAGUGACUGUCUGGAUUCCCAGAAGGGAGUUAGAGGCUAUUUAUGGCAGGCUGUGUGUUUCCGUCUGUGUGUCUGUCUGUGUGUAUGUGUUUGUAAUGGGAAGCAGACUAUAGAUAAGGACCUGGAUAUAUAGAGCAUGAGUUUCUGUGUUGUUGUGUGGGUAUUUCUUAACCCUCUGCAUCGAGGGGAUAGUUGUGUAGUGGUAAUGUUGUGUGUGUGUUUGCAGCCAACAUGAAGAAAAGGAAAAGGCGCUAAAGGAGUGCAGAUAUCACACCUUGCUGUCCUCCUGCCAACCCUGCAGGUUAGGUCAUAAGACACCCCUAACUCAUAUCUCCAUAUCUCUAACUAAUUGCUGAACUCACAUGGAACUAAAUUAUACCCAUAAAUAAAAUUGACAAUGGGGAUAUAUUGUUAGUUAUUACCUGAACAGUUAAUUAUUCAGCAGCCCUCCAGUGUGGUUGACCGCUGACCCUCACUGAUGCCCUCUCCAAGGUUCAUUCAGCCUUCCUCAGCUCAGCCAACAAGUUUGAGUGUCUGGACAUGGGAUAUAAACUGAGGCUGAGGAGGAUUGUGAAGCUCCCUCAUUGAAUGUGACCAGUGCAAAGCAGCAAAAUUAACACAGACUACAGGGGUGAAUUUGCUCGCUGUCUGGAGCCCUUACUGCUGCUGGGACAGCGCCGCCCAGCCUCCAUCACCGGGGCAACUAGUAUCGCAGCUCUAUCCUCAAGACUGAGAUCUAGAACAUGAUAGACCAGGUACAGGAGCUACACAGGGACCUGACCAAGCGCCACUCCCUCAUCAAUACAGACAUCAUGGGGGAGAUACUGGACCGCUCCCUGCACAUCGACAGAAAGAUCAAUCAAAUGUAAAAAAAAAAAAAAAGCUUUAAAACCCAGGUUGAAGGGACCACCCUCACCACCCCAACGGCAGCAAAGUGCUUAGGCAAAGACACCUGGAUCCACGCAUCCCACUGUAAGCAAGUAGCAGAGCCAGAAGAAGAUGCUACUCCUGUUACUCCUACAAUCCAGUAGGAGCACUCUGCUUACCCUGGGACUCGCAGAUAUUGUGGCUGUGGGCAUCCUCUGGGUGGUAGCAGACUUCGAGCCAGAGGCGGGAGAACGUGCUAGUAACCUCUCCCCGACCUCUUCAGUCCAACGAGACUGUGGAAGCUGUGGAAGAAGUAGAUGACCCUGCUGACCUGAACCUGGAUCCUGGUGACCCCGCUGAGCUGAAGAGUAGAAAGAGGCCAUAAACAUUAUGGGGUUUCCCCCGGGUCAAACACUUUCUUACAAGUAGCUAAUAAUGUUUCUGUGCUACAGAAUGAAUCAGAUUGUUGGGUUUGUGGACUGUUGACAGACAGUGCUGAGACUAUGCCAUUGCUAGCUAUACCCCUUAAUGCUUAUGUAAUAUUGAUGUGGACCAAAGCAGGUAACCUUUCAGACUGAGAGCUUGAUUGGUUGGAGGAUGAGGUGUUUUUAUAUGAGAAGAUUUGAUUUUAUUAAUCACACCUCUCUGCCCGAGCAACCCAUCACCCUGGCAUACUCUCCCCCAGGUUAUUUGGGUUAUAUAGAAAAUGGAACUGGUCCCCAGUUGGGGGAAAGUCAUUGUAAAUGUAACCUUUCUGUAUACAAUAACCUUACCCUACCCUUACUGUUGAGAAAUGGAACAUUCCACCCUAACAUGUCAUUGAGAAUACAUUAUAGACUCAAGAAUGUCAGUGUGUAUGCUAAACCUACUUCGUCAGUAAGUGGAACUAUGUAUGUGUGUGGGGGAAAGCCUACUCUUAUCUGCUUACAAACUGGUCAGGAUGAUGCAAUGCUGCCUAUGUUGUUCCUGCUGUGCGUGCUACCCCAGUACCCACAAAUCACAAUUUCUCCCACUUGUAUAAGAGGACCAUUGUAGCCGGCCCUACAAAACAUUUUUUCUCUGCAUUAAUUCCCAAUUAUGGCAUGACAACUGUGCUUCAUUCAAUUAGAGAUCUAGCAAAUGAAGUUGAAAGAAGAGCUAAUGCUACUGCUAUUGAAUAAUUAACUGCUGAGCUUGUGGCUAUGCGUACUAUGGUCUUACAGAAUAGAUUGGCUUUGGUUUCGGUACGGUGGUGGGUCAAGAGUGUUAUGUCUGUUCUCAUGCCUGACGACCUUGGUGAGGAGAUUGUGUGAAACAGCAGUAUCUCCUCCCCACCAGAUGGUCAUGACCACAGAAGUUAACUUAACACAUAUUGCCACUGUUUCACCCUUUCUUGGGGUUCCAGAUUGCUCUAUUGGAAACGACCCAGAUCCCUAUGAACCUUCCUUUUCGCCAGAUAGUUAUUAUAAAGUUACCUUUCAGGAGUUCCAUUCAGACCACCCCUUUCUGUGUAAAAUGACAAUUUCCCAGAAACCAGAAGGUUUUAAGUUCUGUUUGACAACAGCUCAGAUAUAUCACAUAUCCAUGGCAUCAAAGGGGUAAUUGCUGUGGCAGAAGUGGAGAGAGCUGGCGUUAUGUCUUUGUUCUCUAUUCUGUGUUAGACUGUGAUGUUAUGCAUUUCAUAGACUCCUGUUAUCACUGCACCCUAACAGAAGGCCAUUGUGUUCUGGAACUGUUGCUUGUAUAAAAUAACUGUUGUGUAAACAAUAUGAUUGUAUAUAUAGCAAUGUGAUAGAUAUAAGGGACAUGUAACCAUUUACUCUUCGAGCUCUCUGACUGCGAUCAGAGACGGAUCUACCUUACAGCUGCCCGUAUAUAUUAAAGAUUCACUAAUAUAAUUAUAAAUUAGUCUCUGCAUAAUCUUUGGAUUGAGUUUUCUACAACAGCUUCCAUCAAGACCAUCGACUACCAUUGGCCAGGAAUGCAGACAGCCAGCCACAAUGAGAUGCCAGCAUAUUAGACUGCCCCCUCCUGUGUGGUCCCCAGCUCUGUGCCUAAAUAGGCCCCUGGCCCCCACACACAACAGGGCAGAGACAGCAUGUGAUCUCUUCUUCUGUUCAUAUAGCCGCUCCUGACAUUUAAUGGUGACAUUUCCUGGCAUAGAGGAGUUGUCAUCCCUUAGACAAACAGGUCUCAGAGGACUGCAGUAACACUGACACGCACUGGACUCAAUGACUCACUAACUAGAGUAAAUGGACAAACUGAGAGGGGGGUGAAUCCCCUCCGAUCUCACUCCUCAACAUGAAAAGAUCAAUCUGAAGGACUCACCUCUCAUUAUGGACUGAAUGGAUGAAGGAUCUGGAGUUUUAUGCUGAGGAAGUGACUGACUACCAUUUCUCAAUCAUCAAUGCAUGGUUCAGACCUACAAUAGCAUACAGCGGAAGAGUACUUCCUUAGUCUAUAUUACUGAAAUUGUAAUAUGCUGUUAUGCUGUGAGUUAUCCUGAAUGGACAAGUCUGUCUGAUUGUAUGGUUCUAAAACCAAUUGUUGUAUUUGUAUCAUAUGAUCACUAGUUGUCAUAUACAUUACAUAAGGGAAUGUACCUAUCUGGUUAUGCUGGUCCUCAUUCUCAGGAGGUCAUAGAUAGUUCUGGUGUGACACCAACAAAUAGAACAGUCCAAAUGUAAAGUGCAGUCAUCUGUAUAAUGCAUUAAUGUGCAUGUAACCUGUGCAUUAAUCAUGGUGAAAUGAGAUGAGUAUUGACAGGUUUCCUUAAUUUACCCAAGAAUAAGUGGUAAAUUGGUGAAAUGUAUGUAAGGCACAGGCAGGCAUCCCUUCCCCCUUUCUCCUGCCACCUCUUCUCUCCCCCGGUCCCCCCUCUCUCCUUCUCUCUCCAUCCCUCCGAGGCACAGGCACAGCCUAGUAAAUGUAUUCAUUCGUGUUCCUCCCUGUCCUCUCCUCCAGCACAUUAAUAAAGUGUCAGCAGCAUGCUCCAGGGUUUUCCACCACCAGGAAAUCAGCAGGCUACUCUCUGCAUCUUUCUCUCUCUCUCUGUACCACCCUCUUUCCAUCCUUCUUUCUUAUUCUCCAUUCCCCCUGAAUCCUCCUUGUCCCUUUUCGUACCAGGUAAACAUAGAUUGCACACAAUUACAUUUUGAAUUCAAUAAAGAUUUAACUGUACAUUUCUA